GAGUUUUAUAAAAACAUUCUCCCAUGGUCACUUAAACCUUUCAAACAGCUGAACUGGCAUUAAGCUUGGCACCGAUUGCUGAAUACCACCAAUGUCAGACAUCCGAGGGUUUCUGCAGCACGAGCAGAAACCAAAAUAAUAAAACCAAAUUGCUGGGAAGCACCUACACCGCUUGCACAGGACUCCCGAAUCCAAGAAAAGCUUCCUGGCUUUUGGGCUGGCCCAGCUGGAGUUGAAUUGUUGCUAUUCUUUCCUAGUCCUCUGUGCCUGGAAGCCUGGAAAUCCUGCCUAACUAUUGACUGUUCAGCUUUUUAUUGGACCAAUCCAAAUGAUACAUCUUCACAGUGUACAAACAGAUUGUUCUGCAGCAUUGCUGGUUCUUACUCCUCCUUUGGAUGACAGCUUAAAUGUCACAGCCCGAGAGAGUUUCACUUACUACCCCAUCUUAUUUGUUCAGAAUGGUUUGUCAGAAGAGACUGCGCAUAGAGGACGCUCAUUCUUGUGUUUAUUACAGUUUAACUCUGGGCUUUUCUACAUCCCUUCAGAGGCUUCCCUGACAGUCCCCUCUAUAACCGUCACCUCGACUGGAUUUGUAAUCACCUUGGAACUAUACUGUUGCAUGAAUCUAUGGCAGUGCCUCCAGAAGAGCUGAGACAAGGAGGGAAGACACCUCCUGAGUGUGGACAGCAUCAUCUCAUGGACUUGGUUCCUGUCUGAAUAAAAGCGAGCCUGGUACCAGCAUUUAUCUCUCUGAUUACUGACUACUAUCACAGUGUGGCCAGCUGUCCCAGGUUCCUGCUCCCAAGCCGUCCUUCCCUUCCAGAGUUGGCUGCAUCCUCAAAGUGAAACAGGAACAAACCCUCCCUACCAUUAGAUACUUCUAUCAUGUAUUUUAUUAUAGUGGUGAGAAGGAGUUAAUGACACAGUUACCAUAAGGAUUAUAUAAAGCAUAGUAUACUAGUAACUAUUUUAAUCUGAUAAUGCCAACUCUUAUCACGUGCAAAAAAUAUAUAUUUUUAAACAGGAUCUCAAUGUAUUGCUCUGGCUGGCCUGAAUUCUUUAUGUAAACCAGGUUAGGCUUGAACUCACAGAGAUUCACCAGUCUCUGCCUUCUAAGUCCUGGGGUUAAAGGCAUUCCCAGCCUCAAACUCUUUGUUUUUAUUCUUCUGAACAAUUUGUUGAUUUGGUUUUGUUGUUGCUGUUGUUGUUGUUGUUGUUGAUAGUUUGUCUCUUUUACAGGUUGUGUUCCUUAACACGUUAUUUUGACUAUAGUUAUUUUAAUAGUUUUGACUUUAAGAAUUCACACUAGAGAUAUAGUUGAUUUUUAUAGUACCAUCACAGAAAUGAGUGUUUUGAACUUAAUACACUUAUUUUACUUUUUAUAUUUACUUUCUCCCUCUCUCCUCCUCCUCCUCCU